rnacentral:tRNA from 1 species
GGCCCGCUGCGGCAGGGUGCGCCGCACCCGCAUCGCGCGCGGGCCGCCGAGCGGCACGUCACGGGCCCCGAGGAUCUCGACCUCGGCCGGACG